AAAAGAGAAGGAAACCGACCCCUCCUCCUUUUUCCACUCGAUUCUUUCUUGCUGCACAAGAAGAGCGCCGCCUCGCUCGCCUUAAUCCGCAACCACCCCCGCCCACAGAGGCACCCAAACCUCGCGCGCCCGCAGCCUCCUCCCCCUCGGUUCCGCAGAAUCGGGCGAGCUCGCCGACGGGACUGCUCCGGCCGCCUCGCUCACUCGCUCGCUCGCCGCCGUCGCGCCAUGGCCACGCCGCUGGUAGCUGGGCUGUCGGUAGCUGCUGCUGCGAUGGGAAGCAGAUUCAUGAUUCAGGCAUGGCAGGCCUUUCGAAUCCGGGCGGCGAUGCCACGUGUGCGUAAAUUCUAUCCUGGCGGAUUUGAGAGGGAGAUGAGCAGAAGAGAAGCCGCACUGAUCCUUGGCGUAAGAGAACGUGCUGCACUGGACAAGAUAAAGGAGGCCCACAAGAGGGUAAUGGUAGCCAACCACCCUGAUGGUGGUGGCAGCCAUUACAUUGCUUCCAAGAUAAACGAGGCCAAGGACAUGCUCAUGGGGAAGGGGAAAUCCGGCUCCAUUUUUUAG
rnacentral:rRNA from 1 species